rnacentral:SRP_RNA from 1 species
AUUCAGGAACCGUGCGAGUAUGCGCCGCCCAACCCCGCCAGGCCCGGAAGGGAGCAACGGUAAGCGAACGUAUGCUGCGCCGCGGAAAUCUUGGUAUAC